rnacentral:rRNA from 1 species
UACGUAGGGGGCUAGCGUUGUCCGGAAUCAUUGGGCGUAAAGCGCGUGUAGGCGGCCCGGUAAGUCCGCUGUGAAAGUCGGGGGCUCAACCCUCGGAUGCCGGUGGAUACUGUCGGGCUAGAGUACGGAAGAGGCGAGUGGAAUUCCUGGUGUAGCGGUGAAAUGCGCAGAUAUCAGGAGGAACACCAAUUGCGAAGGCAGCUCGCUGGGACGUCACUGACGCUGAGACGCGAAAGCCAGGGGAGCGAACGGG